GUGAAUCACUCUGUAACUCAUGAUCGUUCGACCAAAACUAGAACAUACAUAGUUCGAGUUAGACGGACUCAUUCCUUUUGUAACUAUAAGUGGGUAAACAUUGUAUCAGUAAACUAUCGUUCUUAAAAUAUGAAUACAUAUGGGCCGGCAAGACGUCUAACAUACUGUACAAAAUGAACCUUUGUCUACAAAGCCUCUAAGAUUAUUUGACAUAAAUUGGGACAGGUUACCAGCCUACCCAUAAUUUUGUAAAAAACUUCUGACACGAUGACUCAUAGACUCGGCUGCACUCCGAAUGAGGUGGAGUCUUACCGAUCUUUCGCUGAAGCCAAUCUCGUCUACUAUGAGGGCUCAUCAAACUAAUUAUCUAUACCUGCAAGCAUGAAUGCAGCAUCCCCAACAAAAGGACGUCAGAACUUAAAAAUAGCAUAUAAAUGCAUAUAUAAGCAUGUCCAAAUGUUUUAUUAUUUUUUCAUAAUUUUAAAGGUUUAAAUUGAUCUAUUUUUUCCUUUUUUAUCCAUAAAUCUCAAUAAUUAUUUCCAAAAUUAUUAUUUUUGGUAAUUCAUCUAUUGGAUUUUCAUAUUUAUGCCAAAACAUGGCUAAAGUAAUUUUUACAAUUUCAUUUAGUAUUUUUAAAGCUAAAUUGCACAUAAUUGCAGUAUUAGCCAUUUUAAGGUUUAAUUGUGUCUUAUAUUCAUAAAAUUGGAUCCUAUAUUUUUAAAUUGUUAUUGAUGUGUUAUAAAUCAUUUUGGCUUUUUUAAAUUAAUUUUCAAAAGCCAUUUAAUAUUUUUUAUAAUCUGAAAAGGAAAAAAUUAGCUAUUUAAAUAAUAGCCCAUUUGUAUUUCAAUUCUAGCCUAAAUUGAACCCCAAUUUCCCAGCCCAAUUUUAAUUAAACCCGACCCUAACCCAAUUUUAACCCUACCCAAACCCGGAUCCCCACCUACCCCUUUUAAUCUAGGCCGUUGAUCAUUCAGAUCAACGACCACCAUUACCCCUUACCAUUUUCAACCCCUGAACGACCCCUUACCCUAAAUCAUUUCUCACCACCCGCCGCCCUUGAAUCCCAUCCUCUCAAACUCUCUCUGCAACUCCACUCAAGCCCUAGCCGCCGCCACAUGAAUCCACCCUAAUCCCCUUCAAUCCCCACCUAAUCCAUGGACUCCCAUGGCGGUUUGAGACGUGUACUCGUCUCCUAUGUCUACCGGUUACCUAUUUUCGUGAUUCCAUGGACAUAUCUCGAAGAUAUCUGGUCCAGUCCUUGUUCAACCUCUAUCUCUGGUCUUUUUUCGGCCAUCUAUGACUGUUCGAGUCAGAUCCACGAUUUUUCUGGCUAGAACGAUAACUUUCAAAGUCUUUCUCACUUUUCUGGGUUCUCUGAAACUCUAACUUUAAGAGCUUUCUGAUUUUCUUUCAGAUUUGUCUUAGAUCUGUGCAUGUUAUGAACUUCUUAAAUGUUUUCUCGAAGGUUUUUCAAUUUUUCUUUCAAAGUGACUUCUCAUUUUCAAUGAUUAGGGCUUUUCUUAAACUCUUUCUAAAAAAAAUGAUCUCUUCUCUGAUUUUAGUGUUAUUUUAUGAUUUUACUAUGUUCAAACGAUUUGUUUAUGCUUUUCUUCUACUUGAUUCAACAUAUUGAAAACCCUAAAUAGUUUGGUUCUGUCCGGGUUCUGAAACUGUCCUUGUUUGUUUUGAGUGCAUACUUGUUCGAUUAAGUUCUUUGUGUUUGAAUCCUUUUUCCUUAUUUGACUUAUUUGAAUUUGAGUUCUUACUAUUUUUUAAACUCGACUAUUGUUGAAACCCUAAUUUCUUAAAAGGUUUUCCUCACUUACUACUGUCACACCUCCUUUUUACUAUCUUGGAAGGGCGUAUAAGGGAGUUUUUUUCAAUUUAAGUGACAAUCGAAACGGGAUUAUUUAUUUAAAAAUUCAGAGUCACCACUUGGGAUAAUUUUAUGGUGUCCCAAGUCACCGGUUCAAAUCCUGAAUCGAGGAAAAGAUUGACUAUGUAUUACAGUCCGCGAACAAAGAAAUCCAGGUAAGGAAUUAUGUUAACCCGGGAGAAGGUAUUAGGCAUUCCCGAGUUCCGUGGUUCUAGCAUGGUCUCUCAACUAUUAUAAUUGGCCUAUUUAUCUGAUUUUAACAUAUGUUUAAGCCUAUGUGCAUUUUAACCCUUUUUAAAAACCGCCUUUAUUUAAUUUUAAGAAAAAUUCAAUAUUAUCAAAAAUACGUCUUGAACCACGUCACAUAAAUGCACCCGUAGUCCGCAACAUACUUUAUCUAACAUUGUUAAGAUUUGGAUUUGGGUCACAUAAAUGCACACCCGAGUUUAGGAAGAUGAAUUUAUUAAAUGGCGCGCUUAAAGCAACUACGCGUUUGCAACUUCGCGAGGGCUAUGGAAAUUCGCUAAAUGACACGCCUCGAUUUCUAAUUUCAAAGGAUUUUAUUAUUCGAAGUUGUUAUAAUCGGGUUACAUGAAAUGCACCCUCGAAUUGAGAUUCACAUAUCGUAACCAUACCACGGGAACUGUACCCAUGGCCACUAACCAAUCACGCCACUAUUAAACCCAACUUCUAUUAAUUCAAAUUUAAAAAAAACCAAGGCUUAACACUAGUAUUCACUGAUUUUUAAUUCAACUUUCAAGAACAAAAUUAAAAACAAUAGAUCAAUGCUACAUGCUCAUAAGAUCAACAAAGUACAAAGCCAAACAUGUCAAAGUUGUUCAAUUAGCCAUACUGUAUUCGUGAGUGGAUGAUUUAGAAAAGAUGACAUAUAAAACAUGUCAAAUCGCGGCAUGUAAAGUUGUGAGAAACUUUUGUCCAAAAGCUAAGCUAAAGCAGCUGCAAUAUAUAGAACUAUACACAUGGACUAAUCAAGCAUGUAUUUGAGAGCUUAACCAGACAGAGAUAAUAAUUAAAAUUACCCUACUGUUUCAUCCAAGUCAAUACAAAGCACACCUUAGAGCAACAGAAAUUACAAUCUGAAGAGGGCCACGGAAAUUCAACACAAAUUCAAUCAUUUUCCUCAUUUGAUGAAAAUAUAAUACAAGGAACUUGGAAAUAACCUACUUGAAAUCGAAGCUCAGCCAACAGCAGCCAACAAAUCUGGCAAUCAACAACGAACAACUCUAAAUUUCAACUUGAAAAACAGCUAUUGGACCUUUGAACUAAACGGAACCAGUGAACGGACCUCGACUAGGAACCAAGGGAAACAAUCGUCGAAACUCAGUCAUCGAAGCUCAACCAGAAACUCGAGACUCGUUGGAAAAGGGUGUUAAACGAGUUUUGCGACUCCUCACUGUUUUCAGCGCCUUUGUUCAUUAGCUCUAGAGCUCGAAAGUUGUCAUCGGACUCCCGACCAGCUCUGGUGAUGAAGAAGCUGGUUUGGUCGCUUGAAGAAGGGGUCGCGUUUGGAACUCGUUAAUCCGACGAGCUGGUGGAGCUCAUUUUUUCGGCAAGUUUCAGGCAGAGAUGGUGUCGUUUGAUGAUUAACGUUCAGGGGUCGUUGGCGUUUUUUCUGGCGAGCUGGGUUGUUCCAAGUUUGGGGGCUGUUGGUAUAUGGGGUUGAUGAAAAGAGCAGGGAUGUUGUUUGGUUUGUCUCGAGAAGAAGAUGAAGUUAUGUAAGGGGUUGUUGGAGAAGAUGGAGCCGGGGGGGGGGGGUGGGGGUUCUUGAAGAAGACGACGCCGGGGGCUGGGGGUCAUUCCCUGUUGAAAAAGCUGCGCAACCCUUUUUUCUAGCUUUUCCUUCUUCUUCCCUUUCUCUUUAGUCUUAGCCUUUUAUAUUGUAGAGUCUAGGUCUAGAUAGUUGUAGGGUUUUUAGGUUAAGGGUUAUGAGCCUAGGAAUUAUGGGCUUGAAAAUUAUGGGCUAGGUCCAAAAUUAGGCCUAAAAAUGGGUUGCUAGAGCCCAAGCUUUAUUCUUUCCCUGCGAACGAGAUUAAAAAUACGGUCCCAUUUAUUAAUUAAUCCUACUAUUCAAAUAAUUAUAAAACUAACCAUUAAAACAAACCUAUUUUUGGUAUUUUCAAAUAUCAUAUUAAAAUAAAAAUACGAUACUAUUUUUGUAUUUUUUUAAAAGAUUUUUUAAGAUUAAAAAUGACUCCAAAGCAUUAAUGAACCUAUUUUUUUUUUGAUUUUUUGUUUUCUUGUAAAAUAAAGUAAAAGAGUCAAAAUUACUUAAAAUAUCUAUAUUAUGCCUAAAUUAAAUAUUUACGCGCUAAAAUAUGAAGAAUCUCGGGGAGGGUCAAAAAUCACAUGUCUACAACUGCCCCUCUUUGACUGGAAAGACAUAGUAUUUUUCAGACAAAGAAUGACUAGACAGGUUUUUGACCCGACCCUUAUUUGGAGAGACUAAAACUAAGAGAAAAGGGGAAUGUGAUCGAGCCCUGGUAUCUGAGCUGCCUACAUAUCCUUGGCUAUAAACGAACCAGGUCACAUGUAGUUCAGAAGUGAAUGAGGUGAUGACAUAUGUCGAGGUGGAGAGCCGGUCGAGGUGCCGUUCCGCCGAGGUUCUGAUCCGCGGUCCCUAUUAUUACAUCAAAAAUCAAAUGAAAAAGACUAACUAAACCCGUCAACUACGAGUUACAAGAUUCCUAUCUAUAAGUCUUCUGAAGCUUGAUCUUGAGUCUUGAAUGGUUCUUCAUGCGGACUUUAGAUUUGAACCUUGGUGCUUGUUAGCUGCAGGUGCUAGCUCGUUCUUCUACAACUUUUUGGAUCAAGACCGGACAUGUAGUGCUUGUGCCUUCUACCAUGUCCUAAGCAGUUCAUAUUUUCCAUCAACUUCUGCAUUUGGAUUCACUUCUUGCCUUCCUUUUUUCCCCUUUAUUGUGACUAACUUCUGUUGAUCACCUCGGACUGUUGACUCGCAUUCUUGCCACGAGAUUCUUUGGUUGUUGACUUGAAUUGCAAUCUGAGAUGCUUUUCCUUUUCUUCAGGUGGACGUCUGAUUAUCGAAGUCGAACUGUAUUCCCGUGCUUUCCAAGUGGGCGCCUGACUGCUAACUUGAAAUGUAUUUCCUGCUCUCCAGGUGGGCUCCUGACUGCUAAACUUGAAUGUAUUCCCUGCUCUCCAGGCGGGCUCCUAACUGCUAAACUUGAAAUGUAUUCCCUGUUCUCCAGGUGGGCUCCUGACUGCUGAACUUGAAAUGUAUUCCCUGCUCUCCAGGCGGGCUCCUGACUGCUAAACUUGAAUGUCUUCUCUUGUUACUUGACACUAUUUUCCCUUGCACCUUGAACCAUUUUCCCUUGAAACUUGAACUGUCUUCCUUCGAAACUGUUUUCCCUUGAAACUUGAGUUGUCUUCCCUCGAAACUGUUUUCCCUUGAAACUUGAGUUGUCUUCCUUCGAAACUGUUUUCCCUUGAAACUUGAGUUAUCUUCCUUCGAAACUGCUUUCCAUUGAAACUUGAGUUGUCUUCCCUUGUUCUCCAGGUGGGCGCCUAAUUACAACAAGAGCAAACAAAACAAAAGAAAUUUUUUCUGCCCCAGUUUGCACUAGGAAGAUUUGUGAGUUGUUAGAAAAAUUGUAAACCACUUGUACUAUUGAUGCAAUGAUGAGAGUAAACUAAAGAAUAGACUAGGAAAACUAUAAACUAAGCUUGACUAAAUUAAACACUGACCCUAUUCUUCAGGCGGAGCCCCCCUGAUUUCAGGAAAACUAAACAUUGAUAAUCUUAAGAAAACUAAAAAAAAUGACCCCUUUUUUUCAAAUCAAGACUUUUUUAUCCUAGGGGAAAAUUCAUCGGACUAGGUUUUCUAUCUUAGGAGAAAGAUUCAUCAGACUAAGACUUUGAUCCUAGGAGAAAAUUUAUCAGACUAAGUUUUCUUAUCUUAGGAGAAGGAUUCAUCAGACUAAGAUUUUGAUCCUAGGAGAAAAUUCAUCAGCCUAGGUCUUUUUUUUUUGUUGGUAUCUUAGGAGAAAGAUUCAUCAGACUAAGAUUUCUAUCCUAGGAGAAAAUUCAUCAGACUAGGUCUUCUAUCUUAGAAGAAAGAUUCAUCAAACUAAGACGUUUAUCCUAGGAAAAAAUUCAUCAUACUAGGUCCUUUUUCUCUUUUUUUUUUGGUAUCUUAGGAGAAAGAUUCAUCAGACUAAGAAUUUGAUCCUAGGAGAAAAUUCAUCAGACUAGGUGUUUUUAUCUUAGGAGAAAAAUUUAUCAGACUAAAAUUUUGAUCCUAGGAGAAGAUUCAUCAGACUAGGUCUAUUUUUGUUAUCUUAGGAGAAAGAUUCAUCAGACUAAGAUUUUUAUCCUAGGAGAAAAUUCAUCAGACUAGGUUUUUAUCUUAGAAGAAAAAUUCAUCAGACUAAGAUUUUAAUCCUAGGAGAAGAUUCAUCAGACUAGGUCUAUUUUUGUUAUCUUAGGAGAAAGAUUCAUCAGACUAAGAUUUUUGUUUUUUUGGUUUCUUAGGAGAAAGAUUCAUCAGACUAAGAUUUUUACCCUAGGAGAAAAUUCGUCAGACUAGGUCCUUUUUUUCUCUUUUUUUUGUUUUUGGUAUCUUAGGAGAAAGAUUCAUCUGACUAAGACGUUUCUCCUAGGAGAAAAUUCAUCAGACUAGGUUUUCUAUCUUAGGAGAAAAAUUCAUCAGGCUAAGAUUUUGAUCCUAGGAGAAAAUUCAUCAGACUAGGUCUUCUUUUGUUAUCUUAGGAGAAAGAUUCAUCAGACUAAGAUGUUUGUCCUGGGAGAAAAAUGUGAAGAUUAAUGGCAAGAUUUUAUGCACAAUAGCAAGACAAAUAAAGGCAAAGAUUUGAGAAACUUCCCUUUGUCGGCUCUUAUCAUCUUUUCUCUUCUUUUUUUGUUGUUGUUUUUUUCUUUUUUUUCUUUUUCUCUCUUUUUUUUGGAACCACUUUACUUGCACUGCUUUGUUCCUGUUCAUACAAAGAAAAAUUUGUCAGUUUUAAAAUGGUGGUCGGUUUGUGGCCUUGAGUCUUGGGCAGCUUGGCUUUUGCUCAAUCAGCUUGAGUCGGCUUCAAGAGACUUUUGCUCUGCAUCAACCCUAAUUGUUUCACACCCGGUACCAUUUGUAUUUCUGGCUCAAUCAACCUUAUCCCAACUGAAGAUCCUUUCUUAGAUGACCUUUUCUGAUAUCUUGAAGGACUUCCUGCUUUUGAGCAAUUUGUCUGUCAGAGGGAAUCACAAGUUACCUUUGUUUGUGCCAAGCAAGCUGGCAAGAGUCUUUUGGGGAAGCCUUUGCAUGAAUCCUCAAGGCAUGUUGAUAUUAACAACUGAGUGUGCUGGCCAAAUUCACUUUAUGCAACUAAAAAACUGGUAACAAAUUUUGAAAUCCUUUCUUGCUUGUUUCGAGAAGGGCUGACUCAAAGUGAAGGACACCAUGAUGCAAAGAAACAAGUAUUAACAAGAAAUUCCCCUGUCGAAAGGACAGAAGGAAGAGUUCCNNNNNNNNNNNNNNNNNNNNNNNNNAAUUCAAUCUUCCCUUUUACCAUUCUUAUGAUCUUUGAAGUCGGGCUUGUUCAUGACAAUUCUUCACAUCAGCUUCAUGACUCACUUUCGACAAGUAGUGCCCGAAGGGUUUUCAGCAACAAGUCUCUCUCAUUUAUUCAUCUCUGCUUACCGUCGCCUUACAGUACCCGUGAGGGUUUUCACUAAUAAGACUCUCUCAUUUUUUCUUUUUCUUUCUCUCUUUUUGUGAGCAACUCGACGAUGUUCUACGUCGUGUGACAACUGUUGCUCAUUGCAUGCGUCUCUUGGCAUUCUUGAAGGCAUAUCAGGAGGUCUUUAUUUGGAAGGAUUUUGGAUACGGUUGGAAAGAAAGGUCGGCAUGAAGGCUCAAAAUAAACUCAAAAUGAGGGGUUGUAGACUUACAACUCUUGGAAUCGACUCUUUCAAAAAUGAAAUAAAAUCUUUGCCCCAGUUUCAGAUGCUGGGGAUUUUUGGAUUUUUCUAUUUUUCUAUUUUUUUUUCUUUUUCUUCUAAAUUUUUAUUUGGUUGGACCGAACCGUGAGGCUGCCUACGUAUCCUUAUUUUAAAGGAAUCAGGUCUAACGUAGUUCAAACAUCUCACCUAACUAUUUUUUCAUCUUUUGUUUUUUUCUGUCUUUUUUUUUGGUUUUCAAAACAGGUUGCCCCAGCUUCUAUUUUCUGGGGGCAUGGACCUUUGCCAGUUCUUUUCUUCUUCAUUUUUUUUCACUUGAAAAUUCAAAGAGCUUCCCCAGUUUGUACUCUUGGGGUAUGGACUUUUAUUUUCUUUUCUUUUCUGUUUUUUUUUCUCUUGACUCCAAACUUGAUUCCAAAAGAGGGUGGUUAAAGAAAAUAACACAGGCUCAAAAGGGGUAGUGAAGGAUAUAAAGUGUUUGGAUAGCAGAAAAAGGGCCUCCCAACCUCGAGAACGCCAAACAUAGUAUCUUUUCGCAAUCACAACAUUGACGAACAUGUCUGUUUUCUUGGUGUGUCGUGGUCACAAGACACUUUCUAUCUCUUACUUUCCUACAAACUUCAGUUGACUAGUCAUCCUCAAGCCCGACCUCCACAAUGAUUUGAAGGUGAAUUUUACUCGACCUCAAUUCCAAAGUAUCUCAACUCUUUAUUCAUCCUCAAAAGUAUCUUUUUUUUUCAAUUAUCCAAUUCCAUAUUAAAUUAGUAUCUAAGAUCUGGCCAAAAUUUUCGUAUGCAUGUCAUAUCAUUAGAACUAGCGAGAAAAGAACUAGGAACAAAAUGACACAAAAGGACAAACUAUAUUUUAUUGAGUAAAGGAUGAAAGGUUUUGACAACAAGACAAACAACCUAAGAUCCGAGUUACAACCCUAAAAUAACCUGAAUAAUGAAAAUAGCAACAUAACAAACGGACAAGACUCACACAGACAGAAUGGAGGGAUAGAAGGGUGUGACUCAAUAAUACAAAUAAAAUCUGGAUCACAACCCUAAAAUAACCCAGAUAAUAGAAAAAACGUCAAAACAAGCUACCAAGAUUCCUUCCUAGUGAAGAGGGAAUGACUUUUCAAUUGCUAGACUUGACAUUUAGCCACAAAUUUGCUUAUUAGAAUCAGCAGAGCUUUCUCCAAUUUUAACAUCAUUAACUUUAGUUAGCAAGCUCCCGAGAGGAUUCUCAAACUCCAUGUCACCAGACAUCUUCCCCACAAAGUGUGCAUCAUGAUUUGCAUGUAAAGGAUUCUGCGCGAUAUUCUGGGUGUCACUGUCUUGGAUCACAAUCAGAUUUUCCUGAAUCAUCCUUUCUAUUUCUCUUUUCAAAUCCCGACAGCUUUCAACAUUGUGCUCCUGGGCGUUGGAAUGGUAUUCACACUUUUUAGAAGGGUCAAAGCUUCUCGCACGUGGGUCCACAUGAUUUGGAGGAAUAGGUGCAAUCAUGUCAUAAUGCUUUAACUUCUCAAAUAAGCUUGCAUAGGACUCUCCUAUUGGUGUAAAAUUAUCUUUCAACCUUUGUUCCCCUUUAUACCUCUGGCUGGGAUGUGGGUUAUAGGGAACCUGAGAAUUUUAUGGAGGCUGUUAGAGAUUUUGUGAUGCUCGUGCUCGCCUUCUGGGGUGUUUUGGUGGCUGGACAACAUACUGAGGAGGAGCAACAGAGUAUUGAGGGUUCUGAGGUGGAUAAUACUGCUCAGGGGAGCCAUGAAAAAUUUGAGGAGGCUGCUCAUACCUUCGAGAUGUUCUCCUGGGACCUCUUCUCGACCCUGAUGUCAUCAUGAUUUCUUCAACCUUCUCAUUUGUGUCGCUAAAAUUAUCAGAUUCAACCAGGACAGCCUGAGUUGCGGCUUUAAAAACUACUUGACUUACAAUUUUGCCUGUCUUAAGACCAUUCUCUACCAUUUCUCCCAUUUUGAUUGCUUCCGAGAAGGAUUUGCCAACUGCGGACAUCAUGUUUUGAAAGUAAUCUGGCUCUUGCACUUGAAGGAAGACAGUGAUUAGCUCGUGGUCGUCCAUGGGUGGCUUAACUCGAGCUGCUUGCUCUCUCCAUUUAAUGGCAUAUUCCCUGAAACUUUCACUUGGUUUCUUCUUCAGGUUUGAAAGGGAAAUGUAGUCUGGGGCAAUGUCAAUGUUGUAUUGGAACUAAUUGACAAAGGCCUAUGCCAUGUCAUUCCAUACAUACCAGCGAGACGUGUCUUGAUCCAUAAACCAUUCGGAGGCUACUCCCGUAAGGCUUUCCCCAAAAUAAGCCAUCAACAAUUCUUCAUUUCUUCCCACACCUCUUAGUUGAUUGCAAUACUUUUUCAGGUGGGCUAUGGGAUCUCCAUGUCCCCCAUAUUUUUCAAAUUUGGGAGUCUUGAAACCAGGCGACAAGUGGACAUCGGGGAACAUACAUAGAUCUUUGAAGGCAACACUCUUUUGACCUGCCAACCCUUGCAUGUUUUUCAACCAUUGUUCUAAGCUCUUCACUCUUUGGGUCAUUUCUUCAUGUACCAUCUUUUGGGCAGGCUUCUCAAUGUUUGUAGGAAGAUCAAACGAGUACGAGUGGUACUCAGGAGAGUGGUACUGCUCUUGUUGUGUAGCAAAUUGUGACUCAUGACGAGGCUGUCCUUGACCACUGGCCCAUGCUUGACACAUUUCGGUUAUUUGCUGUUUCAGCAUUCUAUUUUUCUCAAACAUAGUAGACUCUUGUUGAACCCUCUGACCCUGAGUCUUGAGCACUUGUAACAGCUUCGAUGUUAGUUAUCAUUUUUCCUUGGAUCUUGCGUUUCCAGCUUACCACAAACCGACCACCUCAACUUUCUUCACAAUUCAAAACAAAACAUGUUAGAAUGGACUCAGUUGGUCCUUAUUAUUAUCAAUAUUUUUCAUUUUGUUUUUCAUUUUUUCCUUUUUUUUCCUUUUUUUUCCUUUCUCCNNNNNNNNNNNNNNNNNNNNNNNNNGAUCUUGCGUAGUUCGGGAAGAUUAUAAUUAAAGUAAAAAAACUAACUUUUUUUUUGAAUUUUUAUUUUAUUUUUUUGAAAGAAAGACUUAUAAAGAAGAAAGGAAAUAUUUUUGGAUUUUGAUUUUUCUUCAGCAUUUUUGCAAAGCUUACUUCUAAAGAAGAAAGUUGUUUUUUUGAAUUUUGAAUUUUCUUUUUAAUUUUGAAAGAAGAAUGAAAAUAUUUUUGGAUUUUUGGAAGAAAUUAAAAGAAAAUAUCUUUGUAUAUUUAAAAAAAACAAUUAGGGUCUAAAAUAAAGGCUUUCUAAAGAAGCAAGUAAUGGAAAAUAUUUUUGGAUUUUUUAGAAAUUGGGGUCUCAAAAAAAGACUUUUCUAGAGAGGAAGUAAAGGAAAAUAUUUUUGUUUUUUUUUUGAAAAUUAUGGGCCGGAACCGAUGAAGUUUGCCUACGUAUCUCACAUCCGGUGAGAAUCAGACCCGCGUAGUUCGCCCAAUUUUGACGGAACAAAAGAAAAUAUGACUUAUUUUGAAAUGACUUUCCUUUUUUUUCUUCAAACUUUCAACAGAAUUUCAGGGUAAUUCAAAUACCUACCUCUCACUCUUUUUUCUUUUCUCUUUUUUUUUUCUUUUCAUUUUUUUACAUUUUCUUUCCCUAUUCUAGAAGCUAGCAUGCAAGCCAAAAUAGACAGAUACGCAAGUAGCACGUAAGAUGCAUCAGGAUGGUCUUUUCAUUUCGGGUACACCUGUCCUAGACAAACCCAACCCCUGUGUUGAGUCUCUAAAGUCAAAUGCACAUGAUGCAAAAAAACGUUCCUACUAGAGAUCCGGCAUGAGGCUGAGUUAUUCUAGGUUCAAAAUCUGGGUAUGUGUUCUAGACUGUGUACCCGAGCGGACAACUCGAGUCGAGGAGGGGGCUACGUACCGGGAACCAAAAGGCCAUCCAGCUUAGUAACUUAUCCGAGCCUCUUUCUUAUUUCAAGGUAUGACACUAACAGAAUAGGGAGUCUCAACCAGCGAGCACAUCCCCGAGGAUGAGAAGAGAAGGGUUUCGUAGCAGUUUAUAUACAGUUCUGAUAAUAUCAAAGUGAUAAAAGCCUCAUUUAACACAUUAGGCCCAAGCGUGUGAUAAAAUCAUAUAACAGACAAAGCCAAAUACAACAAUUCAUCUAAGCUCGAAUUCUGAACCCUGAACCAGAGAUUCUGGGUUCUUAUCCCCAACAGAGUCGCCAGAGCUGUCACACCUCCUUUUUACUAUCCCGGAAGGGCGUAUAAGGGAGUUUUUUCCAAUUUAAUUGACAAUCGAAACGGGAUUAUUUAUUUAAAAAUUUAGAGUCGCCACUUGGGAUAAUUUUAUGGUGUCCCAAGUCAUCGGUUCAAAUCCCGAAUCGAGGAAAAGAUUAACUCUGUAUUACAGUCCGCGAACAGAAAUUCGGGUAAGGAAUUCUGUUAACCCGGGAGAAGGUAUUAGGCAUUCCCGAGUUCCGUGGUUCUAGCACGGUCGCUCAACUGUUAUAAUUUGCCUAUUUAUCAGAUUUUAACACAUGUUUAAGCCUAUGUGCAUUUUAACCCUUUUUAAAAACUGCCUUUAUUUAGUUUUAAGAAAAAUUAAACGUUAUAAAAAAUACGUCUUGAACCACGUCACAUAAAUGCACCCGUAGUCCGCAACAUACUUUAUCUAACAUUGUUAAGAUUUGGAUUUGGGUCUCAUAAAUGCGCACCCGAGUUUAGGAAGGUGAAUUUAUUAAAAUGGCGCGCCUAAAGCAACUACGCGUUUGCAACUUCGCGAGGGAUAUGGAAAUUCGCUAAAUGGCACGCCUCGAUUUCUAAUUUCAAAGGAUUUUAUUAUUCGAAGUUGUUAUAAUCAGGUUACAUGAAAUUCACCCCCGAAUUGAGAUUCACAUAUCGUAACCAUGCCACGGGAACAGUACCCAUGGCCACUAACCAAUCACGCCACUAUUAAACCCAACUUCUAUUAAUUCAAAUUAAAAAAAAAACCAAGGCUUAACACUAGUAUUCACUGAUUUUUAAUUCAACUUUCAAGAACAAAUUUAAUAACAAUAGAUCAAUGCUACAUGCUCAUAUGAUCAACAAAGUACAAAGCCAAACAUGUCAAAGUUGUUCAAUUAGCCAUACUGUAUUCGUGAGUGGAUGAUUCAGAAAAGAUGACAUAUAAAACAUGUCAAAUUGCGGCAUGUAAAGUUAUGAGAAACUUUUGUCCAAAAGCUAAGCUAAAGCAGCUUCAAUAUAUAGAACUAUACACAUGGACUAAUCAAGCACGUAUUUGAGAGCUUAACCAGACAGAGAUGAUAAUUAAAAUUACCCUACUGUUUCAUCCAAGUCAAUACAAAGCACACCUUAGAGCAACAGAAAUUUCAAUCUGAAGAGGGCCACGGAAAUUCAACACAAAUUCAAUCAUUUUCCUCAUUUGAUGAAAAUAUAAAACAAGGAACUUGGCACUAACCUACUUGAAAUCGAAGCUCAGCCAACAGUAGCCAACAAAUCUGGCAAUCAACAACGAACAACUCUAAAUUUCAACUUGAAGAACAACUAUCGGACCUUUGAACUAAACGGAACCAGUGAACGGACCUCGACAAGGAACCAAGGGAAACGUUCAUCGAAACUCAGUCAUCGAAGCUCAACCAGAAACUUGAGACUCGCCAGAAAAGGGUGUUAAAUGAGUUUUGCGAUUCCUCACUAUUUUCAGCGCCUUUGUUCAUUAGCUCUAGAGCUCGAAAGUUGUCAUCGGACUCUCGGCCAGCUCUGGUGAUAAAGAAGCUGGUUUGGUCGCUUGAAGAAGGGGUCAUGUUUGGAACUCGUUAAUCUGACGAGCUGGUGGAGCUCGUUUUUUCGGCAAGUUUCAGGCAGAGAUGGGGUUGUUUGAUGAUUAACGUUCAGGGGUCGUUGGCGUUUUUUCCGGCGAGCUGGGUUUUUCCAGGUUUGGGGGAUGUUGGUAUAUGGGGUUGAUGAAAAUAGCAGGGGUGUUGUUUGGUUUAUCUAGCGAAGAAGAUGAAGUUAUGGAAGGGGUCAUUGGAAAAGAUGGAGAGGGAGGGG
rnacentral:lncRNA from 1 species